UCCGUAGGUGAACCUGCGGAAGGAUCAUUAAUUAUGUUAAAGCGCCUUACCUUAGGGUUUCCUCUGGGGUAAGUGAUUGCUUCUACACUGUGAAAAUUUGGCUGAGAGACUCAGACUGGUCAUGGGUAGACCUAUCUGGGGUUUGAUCGAUGCCACUCCUGGUUUCAGGAGUACCCUUCAUAAUAAACCUAGAAAUUCAGUAUUAUAAAGUUUAAUAAAAAACAACUUUUAACAAUGGAUCUCUUGGUUCUCGCAUCGAUGAAGAACGUAGCAAAGUGCGAUAACUAGUGUGAAUUGCAUAUUCAGUGAAUCAUCGAGUCUUUGAACGCAGCUUGCACUCUAUGGUUUUUCUAUAGAGUACGCCUGCUUCAGUAUCAUCACAAAUCCACACAUAACAUUUGUUUAUGUGGUGAUGGGUCGCAUCGCUGUUUUAUUACAGUGAGCACCUAAAAUGUGUGUGAUUUUCUGUCUGGCUUGCUAGGCAGGAAUAUUACGCUGGUCUCAGGAUCUUUUUUUUUGGUUCGCCCAGGAAGUAAAGUACAAGAGUAUAAUCCAGUAACUUUCAAACUAUGAUCUGAAGUCAGGUGGGAUUACCCGCUGAACUUAAGCAUAUCAAUAAGCGGAGGA
rnacentral:rRNA from 1 species